rnacentral:rRNA from 1 species
CCUACGGGGGGCAGCAGUAGGGAAUAUUGCUCAAUGGGGGAAACCCUGAAGCAGCAACGCCGCGUGGAGGAUGAAGGUUUUAGGAUUGUAAAAUCCUUUUGUUAGAGAAGAUUAUGACGGCAUCUAAUGAAUAAGCACCGUCUAACUACGUGCCCGCAGCCGCGGUAAUACGGAGGGUGCAAGAGUUACUCGGAAUCACUGGGCGUAAAGGGUGCGUAGGCGGGGUAAUCAGUAAGAU